UCAGUUACCUGAACUGAAAAUUCUCUUGAGGAGCCCUUAAUCUGGCCUUAGGGACGUGGUGUGUGAAGGUGCGUGCAGGUUCAGUACAGCUUAUUAAAUGGAAAACCACAGGCAAAGAGUCAAGCUUUUUUCCCAGACAGUAAAUGAUUUAAAACAAAACACAAGUUCUGCUUCCUGAAAGAAAGGAAAUGUAGGAAUACCCAUCACCAAUGAGACUGCAAAGAAAGAAAUGAAAAGCCACAUUGUCUUAAGUCAGCAUACAGUAGUCUUUGACGGAGUUCCAGAAACUGGCUUUGAUACAUGGCUAGGUCAUUGUCUGCAAUGAGAACAUAACUUCUUUUCAGAGAGUUAAAUGUUUUUAUACAGACACUUCCAUUCUAUUCAUGGACUGUGCUGAGUCUGAACCUUGGCAGGAGUGUCUUUCUAGGACCCACUCUUGUCUCCAAGCAAAGUGAGUUCCCAGGGAGUCUAGCCUGCUGAAGGGACUAAGAGCAAAAUGUGCACGUAAUACAAAUUGGAGUUAGUUAAGUGCCAAGAAAAAGUGGAAGUUUAACCUGCAGUAAAAGUUCUACGUGUUCCUUCUGGAAAGAUGCAAGCAACCGAGAAAGAGCCCACAAUCUUAGGAUAAAUACAUGUUAUCACAAGAUGCGGCCUACUGCUUUUGACAAAGGGAAUCGAUCAUCUUGCAAUGGAAGUGUUUCACAAUUAAAUGCUGGAAACCGUUAUUCUAUUGGUAUUUCUAGAGCUGUAAUAAUGUAAACUAAAUCUCCCCUUGGUACAACUAUAUUAGAAGAGGAAUGGUAUGGAAACUACAGAUGAAUAAAAAAUGUUAUAGUCCUGCUCUCUCUUUACAAUUCUCCCAGCUGUCUAGUGUCAGGGUGACUCAAAAUUAGCAACCUCACUUCUGAGCUGUCAUUUUGGCAAGCACCAAGUAACUGCAUUUUCAUUUGCUUACUUACAGGUGAGACUGCCAAAAUACCCUAGAUGCCUCCAGCAAAGGAAAGGUCAAGACUCAGCUAUAACUGAGUGCAGCCAAUGAAAUCGACAUUUGUAAUUGGCCUUACCUAUUUCUUCAGGCCAGAAGAGGGAAAGCACAUUUAUGAGUUUUUCAGAACUGAAACCUCUCUUAAGUUUAGCAAUUACUAAGAGUCUCCCCCUACUUAUGCAAUUUGAAAAGCUGGGGAAGCAUGGGUUUGACAAAUGGAAUGUAGUAUUCAUUCCCCCUUGGUGAGAAUAAGUUUACUAUAAACAUAUGUAGUUCUGUACUUUGAAAUAGAACAGGAAGUAUGGUGUCAUUAUAGUAUAUAUAAAUGAGCAAUGUUACCUACUAGUAAACCUUUGGCAAAAAAUAAAAUGUAUGUUUGGAACGCAGUACUGAACUUUUUGUAUUUUGCUUUGUAAGAAGAAACCGUCAUAAUCAGUAUUUAUUACUGACAUAAUUUUAGCAAACUAAGAAGAUAAAAUUAGAAGCAUUUACAAAGCUCAAUACCCUAAAUAUUUAAAUGGUCAUUAAGCUUACAUGGAUUUUAGUAUGUGUGUGGAAAGUGUUGCUCCUUAAGUUUCUACAGAUGUACACAGAACCAAAACAAUGUCUUCCAAUAGCUUGCUUGGAAAGAACCAGACAGAGCAUUUCCACAAAUAUAACUCUAGCAAAGCAGGGAGAGCCAGGAGGAAGGAGCCUCAGAUGUAUCACAAAGCACUCUGUCUGUCCUCAGUGAUAGCCUUACUUAGCAACACCUCUUGGAAGGCUUCUAUCUGCAACCGGGACUGUCAGGAGAAAGAGAGACAGAUGAAGACCCGUGGCAAAACCACAAAAAAUAACUGAAAGUAAAGGCUUUAUUUCCCCUCGGAGAGCUGAGGAUUAGUCACUGCGAUGGGCUAUGGAAAUCCUACCAGGAAAUUUCAAUGGGGUUAUACUAGCUAAAAGCCGGGGGGGAAAAGCAACCAGAAUCAGAGGCAGCAUUCAAAGCUUUUGCAAUGAAUCUUCAGCUCUGCUACAGCAUUUCUUCUGACCGUUUACCAUAUUGUCAUAUACAUUUUUGGGUGCUGUAGUUCUAAAAUGGUAAUCCUUGAAGUGGUUUUAACUGCAAUCUUGUGUUAUCUCCUCAUAUAUACAGAAAUAUAACUUUCUGCAGUGGAAACUGAAAUUGUUUAGAAACAAUACUAAUCUCUGAAACAAAUACUCAUUCUGAAAUUCAGGCAAUUAUUUCUCUCAGCUCCACACACACAUACUUCCUAUUACCAUACUGCUUCCAGUUUUAUUAACAAUAGAUUUCCAGGAAUACAUAAGGAGCUCUGGAACAAUCAUCAAAACCCCCUUCUAAUAUUCAAGGAGGAAAAAAAAAAAAAAAAAAAGGAAAACUGGGGGUGACAUAAAGGGUGGAAGAACUACCCCCCCAUAGUCUAGCAGUAACCCUUGCUCCUAUUUCUUGAUUACAAGCUACAUUCUUUACCAUACCUAUGGACACUUCCUUCUGGAAACUGAAUUUUGGUUAACGCUCUCUUUAAAGAAAACUAUAUAAAGCAACUGCAAAAGAUCUUGUUGUACACUGCACUUGGAACCACUGCUCGGGUUAAUGAAGCAUAUUAAACCACUGAGGCAUGCGUUGCGUUAAUAACUGUGGUGGUUUAUUGUCUUCCUGUAACCGAUCUAAAAUAGAAUAGAAUAACAAGACUUCUAAAUCUCUUAAGACAUAUAACAAGCUGAGUGUUGUUCUUUCAGAAUGAGGAGAAAAAAUCCCCCAAACAACGCGUCUGUCUUGGUUCCGAACAGCCAGUUCUUACACAAACACUUCGAUUCAACAAUGUGUUAAAGUCUAAGGGUAUUUAAGCACCCUUCCAGGUAAGGACACCUCCCUGAACUUGUGUAUGACAGUUAAAUAUCUUGUUUAUAGCAUUACAGCACAGGUACUUGUCUCUACCAGUAGGCUAGAGAUAACCAAGAAAAACUACCAUGAAGCCAGAAGCAGUGUCACCUGCACUAGGUACAUUUAUCCCUUAAGAAUAUUAUGAGCCAAAACUGGGGUAGCCUCAAUUGCUGAGCCUUAACUAGAGGAUACAGCAGAUCUUAAUGUGUAUCUUAAAUCUUCAGGAGCCUCUGAAGUCAGUCAGAGUUCAGGUUGGUUUAUUUUAUGCAGUUGAAAAGUGAAGGUUAAAUGAGCGUAAGAAGUCUCUAAUCGUUUCCACUCAUGUUUUGACCGCCCCGAUAGCAAGUGGGCUACAGAGGCUAUUGCUACAGUGUAUGGAAGGGUCCAGAAGUAGGAGAAGGAGAAAAAUUAAGGCACACGUCUCAGCUGGCUGGUUGAAACCUUUGCCCCACUAUGAUGCAGCAGCGUCAAACAUGCAAGCUUGGCAGGCCAAACUAUGGGGCUUAACAUGCAGUGAGGGGUCUCUCACCGUGUUUUUACAGCUCGCUCUACAGGCGUUUAGCUAGGCUGAGUAACCAGGCAGCAGUAUGC